UACGUAGGGGCAAGCGUUGUCCGGAUUCAUUGGGCGUAAAGAGCGUGUAGGCGGCCAGGUAGGUCGGUUGUGAAAACUGGAGGCUCAACCUUCAGAGGUCGACCGAAACCAUCUGGCUAGAGUCCGGGAGAGGAGAGUGGAAUUCCUGGUGUAGCGGUGAAAUGCGCAGAUAUCAGGAAGAACACCCGUGGCGAAAGCGGCUCUCUGGAACGGUACUGACGCUGAGACGCGAAAGCGCGGGGAGCGAACAGG
rnacentral:rRNA from 1 species